GAUAUGUGACGACAUUUGAUAAAGGAAUCUUACAGCUGAUAUUUUAAUGUAGAAUUCUACUAGUAGAGUAAAAUAAGAAGGGGCAAAUGAAUUGAUCUUGUCUCUGGUGACGAAGUCACUAUCAUUCAGAGUCAGGAUUCCUGACUUUGGAUUCUCAAGUUAUUGUCACGAACUUUUUAAUCGUGGAUCUAGAAAUUCUUUCAAGGGGAAGGCACAACAUUUCAAAGUGGCCAAACGGAAAAUUGUUCUCUUGCCAUCAUGAACAGUCUACUUUGUAUAUAAGUAGGCGUUCAAAAAGUAAGGAAUCAUAACAAUACAAACAAUUUCCCUUAUUCAUUGGACACAUAAUGUUAAAACACAUCUAGCGAAUCAAAUAAAAUGUAAUGAUGUAAAUGAUCAUUUUUUUUUAACGUAAAAGUUUCUUCUAAAUAAAUAAAAUUUGGCAUGUAGAUGCACGUAGUGACGCAACCACUAAGCUUGUAAACGGAUGUGCCUUCUGCCUUAUCAGAGGAUUAAAAAGAUGGUCUAGAGUAUGUAAGUCUUUCAUCUUCUGUAUCUUGCAUACCCAGCACACUUGGUUUUUGUAGCACUGGGCGCUCAGAAUUAAAACGUUUUAAGACGCUUUUUGAUAAAUUUUAGGAGAGAAAUUUAACAAUUUUCAUUUUAAGAAUAUUUUUUUAUGGGUAUUACUUAUGCAAAAUUCUAGCUAUAAUACCAUACACAUAGACGAGAUACAGGUACAAACUUAAUCAGUAAGAUGCUAAACCAAAGCAUUCUGGUUCAAAAUCUUCUAGUGAGUCAAGUACCAUUGUAGCAUUAGUUGUUAAUUCUCUUGGU